AAAUUUACAUAGUACUUUGUGUGUGACGGUCACGCGUCACCUUUGUACGCGUCGUCCAAGGUCGAGAGCGCACAACUAGUUGCACCGCCGAUGCCUUUCUGCGGUCCGUACAUUGUCAUCGUGUACACGAAACGUUUCUUAAUUUUUUCAUUGGCGCGUUAACCGCGGUCAAUUAGUAGUAGUCUUGUAAUUAUUACGAAAACGACAGAAAAACGUUUGUUUUUAUUUUAACCUAGGCAGGCCUCGUAAUGGGCCACCAAUUAGUAAAACGCAAAUAGAAUUUUGUUUAUUUUAUUACACUCUCGUAUAUCGUCGACGUUCGUGAUCGUUGGCGACCGUAGGGGUUAAGUUCAAAUAGAGUUGACGGGAACGAACUUUGCGGACUGAGCGUGCGGCGUUUGUGCGUAUUUCACAUUCGUAAUACAAUCGAAAUAGCGAACCAACGGCAGCGGUGUUGUUAUCGGCGACAACUUCAAUUUGUGUUAAUCAGGCUACUGGGAUUGCCGCCGCCUCUCUUGCUACUCUCAUUAUCGCCAUGGUUUUUCUGGUGGGUCGUUACUAGGAAAUGUUUCGUUCGCCGCAGUAAUCUAUUAUUAUCGAUACCGACCAAUUCGGUUUACCCCGUUUUACGAUUCCGCGAACACCCCGACCGGGUUUUCGCAACGUUUUCUUAGAAUCACCGAGCGUUGUCGUCCGCGCGUCGCUUCUCUCUGUGGACGGCAGUAAGCUAGUAGACGAUGGCCGCGUAGUGUGUGUACUGAUCGAUAAAUUAUCGACUGGGAUUUUUCGUUCGAGUGUGUUUUUUCGUAUUAGUGCGCGUUGUGAAUUCCAUAUACGCGAUUCGCGUACUGCGUUUUUUCGUAACUUGACGAGCGGCCGGAGGAUCUCGUGUGGCCGGCAGGACGGCGUGUCACGGGCAACGGAUGGCGGCGACCGCCAAAACCAGUAGUUACGGACGGUCGAGUAAGAUCCGUGUGUAACGUAUUCGGAUAGCUUUCGACGUUUAAUUGUCCAUUUAACGGCUCCCCCCCA